rnacentral:rRNA from 1 species
UACGUAGGCAGCAAGCGUUGUUCGGAGUUACUGGGCGUAAAGAGUGCGUAGGCGGUCCUGUAAGUUUGGUGUGAAAUCUCCCGGCUCAACUGGGAGGGUGCGCCGAAGACUGCAGGGCUUGAGUAUGGGAGAGGUAAGCGGAAGUUCCUGGUGUAGCGGUGAAAUGCGCAGAUAUCAGGAGGAACACCAAUUGCGAAGGCAGCUCGCUGGGACGUUACUGACGCUGGAGACGCGAAAGCGUGGGGAGCAAACAGG